rnacentral:rRNA from 1 species
CCUACGGGAGGCAGCAGUGAGGAAUAUUGGUCAAUGGACGAGAGUCUGAACCAGCCAAGUAGCGUGAAGGAUGACUGCCCUAUGGGUUGUAAACUUCUUUUAUAAAGGAAUAAAACGAGGCACGUGUGCCUUUUUGCAUGUACUUUAUGAAUAAGGAUCGGCUAACUCCGUGCCAGCAGCCGCGGUAAUACGGAGGAUCCGAGCGUUAUCCGGAUUUAUUGGGUUUAAAGGGAGCGUAGAUGGGUUGUUAAGUCAGUUGUGAAAUUGUGCGGCUCAACCGUAAAAUUGCAAUUGAUACUGGCAGUCUUGAGUACAGUUGAGGUAGGCGGAAUUCGUGGUGUAGCGGUGAAAUGCUUAGAUAUCACGAAGAACCCCGAUUGCGAAGGCAGCUUACUAAACUGUGACUGACAUUGAUGCUCGAAAGUGUGGGUAUCAAACAGGAUUAGAUACCCUUGUAGUC